GACGAACGCUGGCGGCGUGCUUAACACAUGCAAGUCGAACGGAAAGGCCCUGCUUUUGUUGGGUGCUCGUGUGGCGCACGUGUGUGUAACACGUGAGUAACCUGCCCUUUACUUUGUGAUAACUUCAGGAAACUGGGGCUACUACCGGAUAGGAGCUCCUGCUGCAUGGUGGGGGUUGGACAGUUUCGGCGGGUGGGGAUGGACUCGCGGCUUAUCAGCUUGUUGGUGGAGUAGUGGCUUACCAAGGCUUUGACGGGUAGCCUGCCUGAGAGGGUGACCGGGGACAAGGGGACUAAGGGAGGGACCAGAGGCGAACGGGAGGCAGCAGGGGAGAAUAGUGCAAAAUGGGCGGAAGCCGGAAAGAGCAACGCCGGGUGCGAGAUGACGGCCGUUGGGGAGUAAACCGCUUGCGCCAGUAACGCAGAGGGAGUGACGGUAAUGGAUAAAGAAGCACCGGCUAACUACGUG
rnacentral:rRNA from 1 species